rnacentral:rRNA from 1 species
UACGUAGGGUGCAAGCGUUGUCCGGAAUUAUUGGGCGUAAAGAGCUCGUAGGCGGUUUGUCGCGUCUGCUGUGAAAACCCGAGGCUCAACCUCGGGCCUGCAGUGGGUACGGGCAGACUAGAGUGCGGUAGGGGAGAUUGGAAUUCCUGGUGUAGCGGUGGAAUGCGCAGAUAUCAGGAGGAACACCGGUGGCGAAGGCAGUUCUCUGGGCCGUAACUGACGCUGAGGCGCGAAAGCUAGGGGAGCGAACGGG